CAAGUUAGCUGUUCUGCUCCUUUGGAGGGAGGUUCCUGUUUGCACACCUCUCUUCAGGUAGAUUAAACAUUUUAUUUACA
ensembl:miRNA Mir1904 microRNA 1904